ACAUUCGAUUAGGUAGUUGGAAGGGUAGAAGCCUCCCAAGCCGACGAUCGAUAGUCAAGUUUGAUGGAACAGAUGACCACAUUGGGAAUGAAAUAUCCCAAGUAGCAUUAAGCUACCAGCAGUCAAGAAUAUUAGUCAAUGCUCGCAAGAGUGAACUAGCUAACUGAAAUCAACGGUGUGUCAUCGUUGAUAAAGUAAGGGAAAAGAAAUGAUACUACCUUACUAUUAGUGUCGUCCAAGUACUCGUGCCAGAAGACUCGGUAAGGCGAGAGACGCAAACGUUAGUCGUCCUAAUCAGGCGUAAAGGGUUUGUAGGCGGUUUUAAGCAUUUAAUCCUUUAAAAUCACAAUUUUAAUAAUAUUAAAAUAAAAAAGGAAGACAAUCAAUUAAAACUAGAAUCAAGAAGAGGUUAAAUUAAAUAAUACUUGGCGUAAGAUUGGUAUCUAUAGAGACCAAGUGGAAUAUUAACGGCGAAGGCUUUUUUCCAAUAAUGAUUGACGCUAAGAAACUAAGGUGAGGAUAGAAAAAAGGAUUAGAGACCCUAGUAUCCCUCACUGUCAACGAUGAAUGGUAGUUACUAGAUAUGUGAAUAUUUGAAUAUUCAUUACCCCCUAAAGGAGGGGUAAUCCAAAAUCUAGAGGCGAUGUUAACACGAAAACCAUUCCGCCUUGUGAGUACGACUGCAAAGUUGAAAACAAAAAAAUUAGUCGGUUUCGGAGCAAACGAAGUGAAGCAUGUUAUUUAAUACGAUACCCCGCGUAAAAUCUUACCAGUCCUUGCAUAAAACUUUUUUAUUUGUAUUUUGUUUAUAAUGAAAUCUUUUUUAACAUAAUUUGGAUAUUAGUUAAAAUGAAUAUAAAUAAUC
rnacentral:rRNA from 1 species